rnacentral:tmRNA from 1 species
GGGGGUGAACGGUCUCGACUUUGGAUGUUGAGGCAGGGGAAGCGGGCCGAGGAAGCCGGAAUGAUCUCGUUAACCAAUAAUCCGUGCAAAAAAAUAACUGCAGACGUUAAAUCGUCUGAUUUCGAACUCGCUGCAUAAGCGAUUCAAAUCCGUUAGCCCAGGUGCCGCUCUCGACCUGGAAUCUAGCGUCGACUAGGGGGCUUUUCACUUCGUUGGUGUUGCAGACGAUGAAGGAGAACAUUUUUGCAACUGAGCUUGUCGAGGAAAGGUGUGUAAAAACCUCGGAGCUGAGAAAGCGUUAAUCACACUACGCCCGUAGAAGCCCUGUUUUAAUACCGAAGGACCCGGGUUCGAUUCCCGGCACCUCCACCA